UGUGUGAAGAAGGCCCUCGGGUUGUAAAGCACUUUUAUCAGGAACGAAAUACCACGGGUUAAUACCCUAUGGGGCUGACGGUACCUGAGGAAUAAGCACCGGCUAACUUCGUGCCAGCAGCCGCGGUAAUACGAAGGGUGCAAGCGUUAAUCGGAAUUACUGGGCGUAAAGGGUGCGUAGGCGGUUGUUUAAGUCUGUCGUGAAAUCCCCGGGCUCAACCUGGGAAUGGCGAUGGAUACUGGAUAGCUAGAGUGUGUCAGAGGAUGGUGGAAUUCCCGGUGUAGCGGUGAAAUGCGUAGAGAUCGGGAGGAACAUCAGUGGCGAAGGCGGCCAUCUGGGACAACACUGACGCUGAAGCACGAAAGCGUGGGGAGCAAACAGGAUUAGAUACCCUGGUAGUCCACGCCCUAAACGA
rnacentral:rRNA from 1 species